GAUGAACGCUGGCGGCGUGCUUAACACAUGCAAGUCGAACGGAAAGGCUCCUGCUUGCAGGGGUACUCGAGUGGCGAACGGGUGAGUAACACGUGGGUGAUCUGCCCUGCACUUCGGGAUAAGCCUGGGAAACUGGGUCUAAUACCGGAUAGGACGAUGGUUUGGAUGCCAUUGUGGAAAGUUUUUUCGGUGUGGGAUGAGCUCGCGGCCUAUCAGCUUGUUGGUGGGGUAAUGGCCUACCAAGGCGUCGACGGGUAGCCGGCCUGAGAGGGUGUACGGCCACAUUGGGACUGAGGUACGGACCAGACUCCUACGGGAGGCAGCAGUGGGGAAUAUUGCACAAUGGGCGCAAGCCCGAUGCAGCGACGCCGCGUGGGGGAUGACGGCCUUCGGGUUGUAAACUCCUUUCGCUAGGGACGAAGCGCAAGUGACGGUACCUGGAGAAGAAGCACCGGCUAACUACGUG
rnacentral:rRNA from 1 species